CCUACGGGAGGCAGCAGUGAGGAAUAUUGGUCAAUGGACGAGAGUCUGAACCAGCCAAGUCGCGUGAAGGAUGACUGCCCUAUGGGUUGUAAACUUCUUUUAUAUGGGAAUAAAAUGUUCCACGUGUGGGAUUUUGUAUGUACCAUAUGAAUAAGGAUCGGCUAACUCCGUGCCAGCAGCCGCGGUAAUACGGAGAAUCCGAGCGUUAUCCGGAUUUAUUGGGUUUCAAGGGAGCGUAGGUGGAUUGUUAAGUCAGUUGUGAAAGUUUGCGGCUCAACCGUAAAAUUGCAGUUGAUACUGGCAGUCUUGAGUACAGUAGAGGUAGGCGGAAUUCGUGGUGUAGCGGUGAAAUGCUUAGAUAUCACGAAGAACUCCGAUUGCGAAGGCAGUUCACUGGACUGCAACUGACACUGAGGCUCGAAAGUGUGGGUAUCAAACAGGAUUAGAUACCCCAGUAGUC
rnacentral:rRNA from 1 species